AAUUUGAUUACUAGGUCUAUCCUGUCAAAGCAACCUAAUAGUUUUGACUAUUUGGCCUAACCACAGUUCUAUACAAGACAGGUCUGUAAAUGUGUGACUCUUAUCAUCGUACCAUGGAUGGAAAUAAGAAAUUUGACAUAUUCUUCAAUAGGCCUAGUUCAGUCCUAGCUAGACCAUUUAGCUCAAGACCAAAAACAAUUCCUGCACACCAGGUUGUGAAUUCUGAAUUAUCGAUAUUGAUGAUGUGGCUACAGACAUUCUCCAUCUAGAUAUUUGGGAUCACGAUGACGAGUCUAGCGUGCUAGACGCGGUGAGCAAGCUCAAUGAAGUACGGGGUGUGAAAGGUCUGGGUCGAUUCUUCAAACAAAUCGCUCAGAGUGCUCGCACUGGCAGUACGGAUGACUUCCUCGGCUGUGUUAAUGUGCCUGUACAAGAUAUCCCAUCAACUGGACUCGAUCGCUGGUACCAGUUGGAGGCGCGGACGAACCGGUCAAAUAUCCAAGGCCGGAUCAGGUUGAAGCUAUGGCUGUCUACGCGGGAGGACCGGGGCGCUAGUGAGGAAGACAACUGGUCUGCGAUGCGCAGCUCACAUCGGCUACAUGCAGUGUUUAUUGACCACGAGACGGCUCUGGCGCAGGGACAGUGGAAUGGAGACCU